rnacentral:rRNA from 1 species
AGUGAACGCUGGCGGUAGGCCUAACACAUGCAAGUCGAACGGCAGCACAGUAAGAGCUUGCUCUUACGGGUGGCGAGUGGCGGACGGGUGAGGAAUACAUCGGAAUCUACUUUUUCGUGGGGGAUAACGUAGGGAAACUUACGCUAAUACCGCAUACGACCUACGGGUGAAAGCAGGGGAUCUUCGGACCUUGCGCGAUUGAAUGAGCCGAUGUCGGAUUAGCUAGUUGGCGGGGUAAAGGCCCCACAAGGCGACGCUCCGUAGCUGGUCUGAGAGGAUGAUCAGGCACACUGGAACUGAGACACGGUCCAGACUCCUACGGGAGGCAGCAGUGGGGAAUAUUGGACAAUGGGCGCAAGCCUGAUCCAGCCAUACCGCGUGGGUGAAGAAGGCCUUCGGGUUGUAAAGCCCUUUUGUUGGGAAAGAAAAGCAGCAGGUUAAUACCCCGCUGUUCUGACGGUACCCAAAGAAUAAGCACCGGCUAACUUCGUG